UAAAGAGAGGAUUGGUAAUCUGAAAGAUAGGUCCCUGGAAAAAGUCCAUUCUGAAACUCCAAGAGCAGAUUAAAAAAAAAAAAGAAAGAGCUUGAAAGUCAUAAAGGAUAAUGCAAAUAUGUAUAACAUAUAUGAAACUGAUAUACAGACAAAACAAACAGAGGAAAUAGAGAAAGUACACACCAGAAGCCGUAUUUGGAGAGGUAAUUUGUGAGAAUUUCGUAAAAAUGAAAGGGGAACAGCUGUGAGAUAUACUGUGUAAUCCAAACAGCUUAAUAGUAAAGAAAAAUACAGUAUAUAACAAUGGAACUGCUGCAGAAAAGGUACAAUGAGAAAAUUUUUUUUUCUUUCUGAGACAGAAUCUCACUCUAUUACCCAGGCUAGAGUACAGUGUUGCAAUCUCAGCUCACUGCAACCUCUGCCUCUCAGGUUCAAGUGAUUCUCCUGCCUCAGCCUCCCAAGGAGCAAGUUUUACAGGCAAGUGCCACCACACCCAGCCAAUUAUAUAUGUACUUUUUUUUUUUCAGUAGAGAUGGUGUUUCUCCAAGUUGGCCAAGCUGGUCUCAAACUCCUAACCUCAAGUGAUUCACCUGCAUUGGCCUCCCAAUAUACAGGGAUUAUAGGCAUGAGCCACCACACCCAGCCAAUGAGAAAAUCUCAAAAACACCAGACUUCUGGUUUCUGUCAAGAUGAAGUAAGCGCAGUGAAUCUUCUCUCUUCCCAUGAUUACAACUAAGAUUUCUAGGCAAUAUAUGGAAAGCAACUACAUGAGAGCUCUGAAAAGUCAACAAUAGCAAAGGAACUGAAAAGUCAGUCAAAACUUAAAGAACAACCAGUAUGGAGCUCUGUUGGAAGCCUUACCUACUCACAAAGCUGCACUGCUGUUGGAGCAACAUAAACACCUAAAAUUCUGAACAGCAACAACAGGAAAAUUCAAGAUCCUUUUUGGCCAGAGGAACCAAGAGGCCCUAUAUUCCAAAGGGGUAGGGGGCAGGGGGGAGUUCCUCCUACUUUUUUCUUGCUAUUUUUUCCUGAAGUUCAAAGUGAUACAAAACUACAGGUAAGUGCAGGAAAUUAAAAUGCUGAGUGAGAAACUCCUGGGGAGGAGGAAGAACUGGAGAACAGUAUUCCCUACUUAUGUCUGUGAACUGGCUCAAGUUCUGGGCUCACCCUCAUACUGUAUAUGCAGAACAGAUGCAAAUUAGCAUUAAAAUCUUCUAAAUAAUCUAAAAUAUAAACCAAUAUGCAAGUCUCACACUAAACCCUGAGUUCCAGGGUAGACCCAAACGAAACAACAAAGCCUUUGAAAACUAAAUUUAUAUCGGAACCACUGGCCAAAGCAGACUACACAGAAUUUAUAUACUAAAUCUAACCAAGUGGAUUAUCUAACAAAACACAACAUGCCCCACUUACCCACACACUCUCUCACACACAUACAUCCUCCAAAGAAUUUUAAUACUAUCCAAAGUUUCACUGCAAAAUAUUUAAAAUGUAAUUCUUAUUUAUUGCACAUAAAGGAUCCAAAACAAUAUGAUGAAUUCUUGAGAAAAAUGACAAGAGAUACCAAUGCCAGAAUUAAUACUAUUAAAAUAUCCAAAAUACCCAGGUGAUAUGGUUUGGCUCUCUUUCCCCAUCUAAAUCUCAUCUUAAAUUGCAAUUCCCACGUCAAGGGAGGGACCUGGUGGGAGGUGAAUGGAUCAUGGGGGCAGUUCCCCCCAUGCUUUUCUCACAAUACUGAAUGUAUUCUACAAGAUAUAAUGAUUUAAAAGCAUAUGGCAAAUUUCCCUAACUCUUUCUCUCUUGCCACCAUGUAAAACAUGCUCUGCUUUUUCUUCACCUUCCACCAUUAUUGUAAGUCUCCUGAGGACUUGCCAGCCAUGCAUAACUGAGAGUCAAUUAAACCUAUUUUCUUUAUAAAUUACCCAGUCUCAAGUAGUUCUUUUUAACAGUGUGAAAAUGGACUAAUCCAGAAAUUAGUACCAAGAGAAUUGGGGCACUACUAUAAAGAUACCUGCAAAUGUGGAUGUCACUUUGGAACUGGGAAACAAGCAGAGGUUGGAAUAGGUUGAAGGGCUCAGUGAAAAAGAGGAAGACAUGAGAAAGUUUGGAACUUCCUCUUUGUUGAAGUUAAAGAGAUUUGUUGAAUGGUUUUUACCAAAAUGAUAGCAAUUCAGACCAUGAAGACCAGGCUGAGGUCGUCUCAGAUGAAGAUGAGGAACUUCCUGGGAACUGGAACAAAGGCCAUUCUUGUUUUGCUGUAGCAAAGAAACAGGCAGCAUUUUGCCCCUGCCCAAGAGAUCUGUGGAACUUUGAAUUUGAGAGAAAUGAUUUGGGGUAUUCUGGCAGAAGAAAUUUCUAAGCAGCAAAGCAGUUGAGAUUUUAUGUGGCUUUUUCUGAAAGCCUACAGUUAUAUGCAUUCACAAAGAGAUGGCCUCAAAUUGGAACUUACGUUUAAAAAGGAAGCAGAUAAUAAUAUUUUGGAAAAUUUGCAGCCUGACCAUGUGGUAGAAAUGAAAAACCCAUUACCCAGGGAGAAAUUUAAGCUGGCUACAGAAAUUUGCAUAAGUAAUAAAAAGCCAAAUUUAAUCACCAAGACAAUGGGGAAAAUGUCUUCAUGGCAUGUCAGAGAUCUUAGAGGCAGCCCCUCUCAUCACAGGCUGAGAGGCCUAGGAGGGAAUGAAUAAUGGUUUUGUGGGCCGGGCCCAAGACCCCACUACUCUGUGCAUCUUUGUAUUCCAGCCACUCCACUCCAGCCAUGGCUAAAAGGGGCCAAGGUACAGCUCAUACAGUUGUGGCAAAGGGAGCAGGCCCCAAACCUUGGCAGCAUCCAUGUGGUGUUGGACCUCCAGGUACCUAGAAUAUAAAAGUUGAGCUUUUGGAGCUCCAACUAGAUUUCAUAGAUGUAUGAAAACAACUGGAUGUCCAGACAAAAAUUUGCUGCAGGGGCAGAGCCCUCAUGGAGAAUCUCUGCUAGGACAGUGUAGAAGGGAAAUGUGGAGUUGGAGUCUCCACAAAAAGUAUUUACUGGGGCACUGCUAACUGGAGCUGCAGAAAGAGGACCACCAUCCUCUAGACCCCAGAAUAACAGAUCCACCCACAGCUUGCACCAUGUCCCUGGAAAAGCUGCAGUUACUCAGUAUCAGCCCAUGAAAGCUGCCAUAGGGCUAUACCCUACAGAGCCACAAGGGAGGACCAUCCAAGGCCUUCAGAGCCCAAUUCUUGCAUCAGCAUUCCCUGGAUGUGAGAAAUGGAGCCAAAGGGGAUUAUGUUGGAUCUUUAAGAUUUAAUGAGUGUCCUGUCGGGUUUGGAACUUGCAUGGGGCCUGCUCAUAGGUGGAAGGCAUUGGCUUAUUUCAGAUGAGACUUUGGACUUAGACUUUAGGGUUAAUGCUGAAAUGAGUUAAGAUUAUGGGGGACUGUUAGGAAGGCAUGACUGUGUUUUAAAAUGUGAGAUUUAGGAGGGGCCAGGGUCAGAAUGAUAUUGUUAGGCUGUGUCCCCAACCAAAUCUCUUCUAGAAUUGUAAUUCUGGAAGAAUUGUCUUCUUGAAUUGUAAUUCUCCUAUGUGUUAAGGAAGGGACCUUGUGGGAAGUGAUUGGACUAUGGGGUGGUCCCCCAAGCUGUUCUCAUAAUAAUGAGUUCUCAUGAGAUCUGAGGGUUGAAAAGUGUACAGCAGUUCACCACCUUCACACACUCUGUAUCCUGCUACCACAUGAAGAAGGUCCUUGAUUCCCCUUCGCCUUUCACCAUGAUUGUAAGUUUCCGGAAACCUCCCAGUUUGACUUCCUGUUAAGCCUGGAGUCAAUUAAACCUCUUUUAUUUAUAAAUUACCUAGUUUCUGGUAUUUCUUCAUAGCAGUGUGAAAAAUGACUAAUACACCAGGCAAUCUACAGAUUCAAUACAAUCAUUAUCAAAAUGCCAAUGGCAUGUUUCACAAAAAUAGGAAAAAAAAAAAGUACUAAAAUGUAUGUAAAACCACAAAAGACCUAAAUAGUCAAAUCAAUCUUUAGCAAGAAGUACAAAGCUGUAGGCAUCACACUUCCUGAUUUCCAAUUAUGUCACAAAGACAUAAUACACAAAACACUAUGGUAUUGAUGUGAAAAUUGACACAUAGACCAAUGGAACAGGAAAGAAAUCCCAAAAUAAACCCAUGCAUGUACAGUCCAAUAAUUUUCAAGAAGAUGCCAAGAACACAGUGGGGAAAGGAUAGUUUCUUCAAUAAAUGGUAUGGAAAAACUAAACAUUCACCAUAAAAUAAUGAAAUUGGACCCUUAUCUUACACCAUACACAAAAAUCAACUGAAAAGUUAUUAAAGAUUUAAAUGUAAGACCCAAAAUGUAAAAUGCCUAAAAGAAAACAUAGGGAACAAACUCCUUGGCAUUGAUCUCGGCAAUAAUUUUUUGGGUAUGACACCAAAAGCACAGGUGACAAAAGCAAAAAUAAAUACAUGGAGUUAUACCAAAUUUAAAAGCUUCUGCACAAUGAAUAAAGCAAUCAGCAAAAUUUAAAGGCUACCUACAGAGUGGAAAAAUAUUUGCAAACCAUGUAUCUGAUAAGGAGUUAACCUUCAAAAUAUGUAAGAAACCCAUACAACUCAAUAGCAAAUAAUAAUAACAAUAAACAAGAACUCAAUUUAAAUACAGGCUAUAGACUUAUCCAAAGAAGACACACAGAUAGCCAAUAUGUUUAUGAAAAGGCUCUCCUGUUUACAAUAGCAAAGACCUGGAACCAACCCAAAUGCCCAUCGAUGAUAGACUGGACAAUGAAAAUGUGGCACAUAUACACCAUGGAAUACUAUGCAGCCAUAAAAAAGGAUGAGUUUAUGUCCCUUGUAGGAACAUGGAUGAAUCUGGAAACAUCAUUCUCAGCAAACUGACACAAGAACAGAAAAUCAAACACUGCAUGCUCUCACUCAUAGGCGGGUAUUGAACAAUGAACACAUGGACAGAGAGAUGGGAGCAUCACACACUGGGGUCUGUUUUGGGGGAAUAAGGGAGGGACAGCAGUGGAUAGGGAAGUUGGAGAGGGAUAACACGGGGAGAAAUGCCAGAUAUAGGUGACCGGGGAUGGAGGCAGCAAACCACAUUGUCAUGUAUGUACCUGUACAACAAUCCUGCAUGAUCUGCACAUGCACCCAAGAACCUAAAGUACAAUAAAAUAUAUAAAAAAAACAUUCUAGCAAUAUGUAGCAUAACAGUGUCAAUGUAAUUAGCAGGACUGAAAUGAAUAUUUAAUAAUAUUGUAUUGUAAAUUUUGUUGUGUGUUUUUGACAAAAAUGAAUAAUAACUAGAAAAAAAGGUGCUCAACACCACCAAUAAUCAGGAUAAUGCAAAUCAAACUAUCAUAAGAUAUCAUACAUGAUAAAAAAACAGAACCGUUGUGCACUGUUGAUGGAAAGAUUUAUUAAUAUAACCAUUAUGGAAAACAGUAUGGAAUGCUUCCUUAAAAAAUUAGUAACAGAACUACCAUAUGAUCCACCAAUUCCAUUUCUGGGUAUCUAGCCAAGGGAAAUGAAAUCAGUAUGUCAAAGUGAUACCUGCACUCCAAAGUUUGUUGCAGCAUUAUUCACAAUAGCCAAAUUAUCAAAGCAACCUAUGUUUGUCAAUGAAUGCAUAAAGAAAAUGUGAUACAUAUAUUAUUCAUGUACAUAUGAAAUUAUAUAAACCUUAAAAAUAAGAAAAUCCCAUUUGCAAUAAUAUGGAUGAACCCAGAAGACAUUACACUAAGUGAAGCCAGACACACACAAAAAAUAAGCACAAUCUCAUUUGUAAGUGGAAUCUAAAGCAGAGAUUAGAAUGGUGAUCAUCAGAGGUAGAAGGUUGGUGCAAAUAGGGAGAUGUUGGGCAAAGAAUAUCAUGUUUCAAUUAUGUAGGAUAAAUUCCAAUGAUCUAAUGUUUAGUUUGGGUACUACAGAUAAUAUUUUAUUGUACACAUCAAAUUUGCUAAGAAAGUAGAUAUUAAGUGCUCUUAUCACAAAAAACUACUUUGAGAUAAAUAUGCUACUUAACUGUAGUAAUCAUUUCGGUCUAUAUGUGUGUAUUAAAACAUCACACUGUAUACUUUUAUUAAUAAAAUAA